rnacentral:lncRNA from 1 species
AAUCCACGGAUUUUGUUGAGUCCACAGUCCACGGAUUCGCUUUUGUGAUUCACAAAGGUGGACUCGACCGAAUCCACGGAUUCAACCAAGUCUAUUACGUCACGAUUUCGAGUCAACUGUUUGGGGUGGUCUGAAACAGUGGACUCCACAGAAUCCGUGGAUUCUAGGCGUAAUUGGCCAAUCACAGCGCAGCAUUUGGGUAUAGACAACAACCGCUGGACGAUAAUUUUGCAGCAAAAUUUAAGGUGGAAGACUGGACGUGAAAGUGGUGGAAAAAAUACAUGCUGGACCGAGCUCCGAGAAAAUUAACAAAAAAUGGCAGAAAAUCACCGUGCUCAUUUAAUGCAUCUUGAUCAUGUCAACAGCCUCAGAGAGAUAGCCAACCGGCCCAGACCCUGAUGGGAUUACAGAAAUGAAUGAAUCCUUUUGAGUUGUACAUGGAUGAAGCCUUUCGAAUGCGGUAU